CGGCGAGUAGCGCAGCCUGGUAGCGCAACGUCAUGGGGUGUCAGGGGUCGUAGGUUCAAAUCCUAUCAUGCCGACCA
rnacentral:tRNA from 1 species